rnacentral:rRNA from 1 species
ACAGUGGACGCGAGCAUCUGUGGCCAAGUUUUUAAGGGCGCACGGUGGAUGCCUUGGCACCAGGAACCGAUGAAGGACGUGGGAGGCCACGAUAGUCCCCGGGGAGUCGUCAACCAGGCUUUGAUCCGGGGGUUUCCGAAUGGGGAAACCCGGCAGUCGUCAUGGGCUGUCACCCAUACCUGAACACAUAGGGUAUGUGGAGGGAACGCGGGGAAGUGAAACAUCUCAGUACCCGCAGGAAGAGAAAACAACCGUGAUUCCGGGAGUAGUGGCGAGCGAAACUGGAUGAGGCUAAACCGUAUACGUGUGAGACCCGGCAGGGGUUGCGUGUACGGGGUUGUGGGAUCUCUCUUCUGUCGUCUGCCGGCGGCAGGGCGAGUCAGAAACCGUUGAUGUAGACGAAGGACAUGCGAAAGGUCCGGCGUAGAGGGUAAGACCCCCGUAGUCGAAACGUCAACGGCUCGUCUGAGAGACACCCAAGUAGCACGGGGCCCGAGAAAUCCCGUGUGAAUCUGGCGGGACCACCCGCUAAGCCUAAAUAUUCCCUGGUGACCGAUAGCGGAUAGUACCGUGAGGGAAUGGUGAAAAGUACCGCGGGAGCGGAGUGAAAUAGUACCUGAAACCGUGUGCCUACAAGCCGUGGGAGCGUCGCGCAUCGAGCUUGCUCGGUGCGUCGUGACUGCGUGCCUUUUGAAGAAUGAGCCUGCGAGUUUGCGGUGUGUUGCGAGGUUAACCCGAGUGGGGUAGCCGUAGCGAAAGCGAGUCCGAACAGGGCGUUUCAGUAGCACGCUCAAGACCCGAAGCGGAGUGAUCUAGCCAUGGGCAGGUUGAAGCGGCUGUAAGAGGUCGUGGAGGACCGAACCCACCAGGGUUGAAAACCUGGGGGAUGACCUGUGGUUAGGGGUGAAAGGCCAAUCAAACUCCGUGAUAGCUGGUUCUCCCCGAAAUGCAUUUAGGUGCAGCGUCGUGUGUUUCUUGCCGGAGGUAGAGCACUGGAUAGGCGAUGGGCCCUACCGGGUUACUGACCUUAGCCAAACUCCGAAUGCCGGUAAGUGAGAGCGCGGCAGUGAGACUGUGGGGGAUAAGCUCCAUGGUCGAGAGGGAAACAGCCCAGAGCAUCGACUAAGGCCCCUAAGCGUACGCUAAGUGGGAAAGGAUGUGGAGUCGCACAGACAACCAGGAGGUUGGCUUAGAAGCAGCCACCCUUGAAAGAGUGCGUAAUAGCUCACUGGUCUAGUGAUUCCGCGCCGACAAUGUAGCGGGGCUCAAGCGUACCGCCGAAGUCGUGUCAUUGCAGCAUAUAGCCCCAACGGGCGCUGUGAUGGGUAGGGGAGCGUCGUGUGCCGGGUGAAGCAGCCGCGGAAGCGAGUUGUGGACGGUUCACGAGUGAGAAUGCAGGCAUGAGUAGCGAUACAAACGUGAGAAACGUUUGCGCCGAUUGACUAAGGGUUCCUGGGUCAAGCUGAUCUGCCCAGGGUAAGUCGGGACCUAAGGCGAGGCCGACAGGCGUAGUCGAUGGAUAACCGGUUGAUAUUCCGGUACCCGCUGUGAAGCGUCAAACACUGAACCAGGCGAUGCUAAGUCCGUGAAGCCGUUCCGGACCCUUCGGGGAAAGGAAAGUGGUGGAGCCGACGGACCAGACUUGCAGUAGGUGAGUGAUGGGGUGACGCAGGAAGGUAGUCCAUCCCGGGCGGUGGUUGUCCCGGGGUAAGGGUGUAGGACGUCAGGUAGGUAAAUCCGCCUGGCACAUAGUCUGAGACCUGAUGCCGAGCCGAUUGUGGUGAAGUGGAUGAUCCUAUGCUGUCGAGAAAAGCCUCUAGCGAGUUUCAUGGCGGCCCGUACCCUAAACCGACUCAGGUGGUCAGGUAGAGAAUACCGAGGCGUUCGGGUGAACUAUGGUUAAGGAACUCGGCAAAAUGCCCCCGUAACUUCGGGAGAAGGGGGGCCAUCACUGGUGAGAGCACUUGCUGCUCGAGCUGGGGGUGGCCGCAGAGACCAGCGAGAAGCGACUGUUUACUAAAAACACAGGUCCGUGCGAAGCCGUAAGGCGAUGUAUACGGACUGACGCCUGCCCGGUGCUGGAACGUUAAGGGGACCGGUUAGUGCGCUUUCGGGCGUGCGAAGCUGAGAACUUAAGCGCCAGUAAACGGCGGUGGUAACUAUAACCAUCCUAAGGUAGCGAAAUUCCUUGUCGGGUAAGUUCCGACCUGCACGAAUGGCGUAACGACUUCUCGACUGUCUCAACCAUAGGCCCGGUGAAAUUGCACUACGAGUAAAGAUGCUCGUUUCGCGCAGCAGGACGGAAAGACCCCGGGACCUUUACUAUAGUUUGAUAUUGGUGUUCGGUUCGGCUUGUGUAGGAUAGGUGGGAGACUGUGAAGCUUGGACGCCAGUUCAGGUGGAGUCGCCGUUGAAAUACCACUCUGGUCGUGCUGGAUGUCUAACCUGGGUCCGUGAUCCGGAUCAGGGACAGUGUCUGAUGGGUAGUUUAACUGGGGCGGUUGCCUCCUAAAGAGUAACGGAGGCGCCCAAAGGUUCCCUCAGCCUGGUUGGCAAUCAGGUGUUGAGUGUAAGUGCACAAGGGAGCUUGACUGUGAGACCGACGGGUCGAGCAGGGACGAAAGUCGGGACUAGUGAUCCGGCGGUGGCUUGUGGAAGCGCCGUCGCUCAACGGAUAAAAGGUACCCCGGGGAUAACAGGCUGAUCUUCCCCAAGAGUCCAUAUCGACGGGAUGGUUUGGCACCUCGAUGUCGGCUCGUCGCAUCCUGGGGCUGGAGUCGGUCCCAAGGGUUGGGCUGUUCGCCCAUUAAAGCGGUACGCGAGCUGGGUUUAGAACGUCGUGAGACAGUUCGGUCCCUAUCCGCUGCGCGCGCAGGAACAUUGAGAAGGGCUGUCCCUAGUACGAGAGGACCGGGACGGACGAACCUCUGGUGUGCCAGUUGUCCUGCCAAGGGCAUGGCUGGUUGGCUACGUUCGGGAGGGAUAACCGCUGAAAGCAUCUAAGCGGGAAGCCUGCUUCGAGAUGAGUGUUCCCACCUCCUUGAGAGGGUAAGGCUCCCAGUAGACGACUGGGUUGAUAGGCCAGAUGUGGAAGCCCGGUAACGGGUGAAGCUGACUGGUACUAAUAGGCCGAGGGCUUGUCCUCAGUUG